rnacentral:rRNA from 1 species
UAGGGAAUCUUCGGCAAUGGGGGGAACCCUGACCGAGCAACGCCGCGUGAGUGAAGAAGGUUUUCGGAUCGUAAAGCUCUGUUGUUAAGGAAGAACGAGUGUGAGAAUGGAAAGUUCAUGCUGUGACGGUACUUAACCAGAAAGGGACGGCUAACUACGUGCCAGCAGCCGCGGUAAUACGUAGGUCCCGAGCGUUGUCCGGAUUUAUUGGGCGUAAAGCGAGCGCAGGCGGUUAGAAAAGUCUGAAGUGAAAGGCAGUGGCUCAACCAUAGGCUUGCCUACAAAACUGUUGAACUAGAGUACUGGAAAGGUGGGUGGAACUACACGAGUAGAGGUGAAAUUCGUAGAUAUGUGUAGGAAUGCCGAUGAUGAAGAUAACUCACUGGACAGAAACUGACGCUGAAGUGCGAAAGCUAGGGGAGCAAACAGG